UACGAAGGGGGCUAGCGUUGUUCGGAAUUACUGGGCGUAAAGCGCGCGCAGGCGGUCUUCCAAGUCAGUGGUGAAAGCCCGGAGCUCAACUCCGGAACUGCCAUUGAAACUGUGAGACUUGAGGAUGAGAGAGGUGAGUGGAAUUCCCAGUGUAGAGGUGAAAUUCGUAGAUAUUGGGAGGAACACCGGUGGCGAAGGCGGCUCACUGGCUCAUUUCUGACGCUCAGGCGCGACAGCGUGGGGAUCAAACAGG
rnacentral:rRNA from 1 species